UAAAAGUGGCGAGGUGUCUGCUUUCAUAUCUGCUUCCAUGCAACACCACCACACAGUUCUUAGCCUUUGAUGACACUGUGCAGUAAAUGAGCAAGGGAUUAGGUUUGUUGCACCAACACCACCACCACAUACACACAGCAAACAUCUAACAUGCAUCUGUCGCCAUCGAUCUGCGACGUAGAGGAGGCUGCGACCACCUACGACAUUGCGGCGAUCGAGUAUCGUGGCCUUAAUUCUGUCACCAACUUCGAUCUCGGCCGGUACAUUCAAUGGCUUCGAUCAAAUCACCAGGGGCUUCAUGCUGAUCCAAGCACCAGCAACAGUGCAAUUGAGGGCACCACACGGUUUCUCGACGCAGGAGCUGCAGGAGUGAGCACAUCAUCUGCUCUCGGUCUGCUGCUGCAGUCAUCAAAGUUCAAGGAGAUGUUGCACAAGAGGCUGUUGAUCUUGAUAAGAAGGGAUAGAAUUAUCAAAUAAAGAGGCAUCAUCAGAAGAAAGCAAUUCGCCUUCGGCACAUGUUUUCGAUGAUAAGCCACCCCGGUGCAGUUUUUUGGAUUACAUACAGACAUACUUCAGAGUGGCAAGACAGUGAGAGCUUCACUUAGGAAGAAGACUCCAGGGGCCCUCAACACCUACAUAUCCCCAAUCAUGACUUGCGAGUUUGACAUAUAGAUUUGAAGAACCUAAACAUGAAAUUCUAAAGAUAUUUACUUUUAUUUUCCUACCUAUGUGGAUAGAGAUUCUUCUACCAGUGUCAUCAUAGUCAAAGUGAGCUCAAGAUGAAUUUUUGAACUGGUUUCAUC